UUCUGACUUACAGUGUGAAAACAGCAGCUCCUCAGGGUGGGAGCCCGCACAGCACAAUCCUCAGGGAUGUUAUUAAUCCUCCUCUUUUCCCUGCACCCUUCAGUCGCUGCCAUUGCCAGCAUUCCUUCCAGCACUCCCUGCUCUGUUUCUAUAGCAACUGGAGUACACACACGUCCUGAGUCUGGCAGGGCAGCAUGGCGGCAGAGUGGGAGCCGAGAGAUGUGCAGAAGCAGAUCUCAUUUGGGUCAUGUCAAGAGCGGAAAAUGUUCCCUCUCCACCAUGCCCCAGACAGGCUGGGAAUCCAGCUGAUAGCCAUCAGGGGACAUCCUUCGCUUGGACCAGGCUGCUACCCGAAUCAAGAGAGAAGCAGUCUCAGAUACUCUUUGGAAAACAAACCACUGAGCAAGAAAGGCUAUGUGAUAGGAGCGAGAACAGCCCAGCGUUUCAUACCAGAGCCACAGACUGUGACUCCCAGCCCAGCAACGUACCAGUCAUUCUGGAAGAAAGAGAGAAAAUGCCAGCCUGCCUAUGCUCCAUUUUCCAUUAAGACACCACGAUUUCCAUAUAAGCCUUCAGAUAAAGAAUUUUUCCCUGGACCUGGAACUUAUGAAGCAGACAAGCAAUUACACAAAAAAGUCACUUGGCCAAUGAAGUUUGGGUCUCCAGACUGGUCUUUAGUGCCGAUGCCAGCAAGGAGGAUGCUAAAAAUGGAGGUACAGAAGCUGACCAUAGACAGAGAAUUCAGGAAACACCGGGACCGAGUAGCCUACCUGAGUUUAUACUACAGCUGAGGAGCCAGGGCUGACGCCACAAGCCUCCCCUUCCAGCUGGGCAGCUCGGGCCUCACCUCCGCUUCCCACCCACUCAUGGAGACAUUUGUCUGCACUAUCCAGCCUCUCCAAAUAAAACCAUUUCAAAAAGAGGCAUAUUUUUGCCACUGCUUGUGCUUACUUGGUAUCAUGCCAGGUGUCUGCUGCCUCUGCGGGUGUUUGGGUCCCAUGCACAGCACCACUCAGCCCGGCUCCCCUCAGCUCCUUGGCCCAGGCAGGACUGGCAGCCAUUUUCUCUGGGUCGCCAUGGAAACACCUCACCUCACCACCCUCCCCUACAUGGCUUCCCUCACCACAGCGGGCUUUUACCCCCAAAAUCCAAACCCUCAUGGGCAAUGGAGGGGAGCCAAAUUAACACAGCUAGAAGGCAGCCUGGUUUCUGUCCUCAUCUCCUGGGCACUGAGAGCAAAUGGCACCAUCUUCUCCUCAGCUGCCACCUGCCUUCCCCGGCCUCCUCACCACCAUCUCCUCAUCUCCCACAGAUGCUCCAGGCUGGGUCCAGGGACUCACCCACAGCCUGAGGAGAGCUGAGAAACAUGAGGGCGUACCUGGCACAGCCACCGGUACUGCGCUGCCCUCAGGAGAAAAAUACAUGUGUAAGAGAAGACGGAGAAGAACUUAAGCAGUACCUAUGAUUCUGCAGUCCUCCUCAGCCACAUGUUCCACCUGUGACUGGAGAAACCUACUAAAGCUGACGGUAUUUCAAAAGGCACUUUGUCCUCACUGAACAUAUUUCUAAUAAACCAAGGUUUUGUUGGAAAAUUCCCAACCUUCUCAGCUAUCAAGUGUUGCUGUGGAGAAUGGAAGAGAUGCAGAGGGAAGGACAAGACUUCCUACUGCUUUUAGACCCCACUGAACACACACUCAGG